GGUUAACGGGGAGGAAGGUGGGGACGACGUCAAGUCAUCAUGGCCCUUACGCCUAGGGCUACACACGUACUACAAUGGCGCAUACAAAGGGCAGCGAUACCGCGAGGUGGAGCCAAAUCCCAAAAAGUGCGUCCCAGUCCGGAUUGCAGUCUGCAACUCGACUGCAUGAAGUUGGAAUCGCUAGUAAUUCGAGAUCAGCAUGCUCGGGUGAAUGCGUUCCCGGGCCUU
rnacentral:rRNA from 1 species